GCUUGUCUAGCUCAGUUAGUAGAGCGCAAGGCUCUUAACCUUGUGGUCGUGGGUUCGAGCCCCACGUUGGGCA
rnacentral:tRNA from 1 species